UGUCUAGUUCCCUCUAUGACGUCCGAGUAGGUGAUCACAAGCCUGUGGUUUCUACCUAGGAACAAGGUCAAAACACUAAGCCUGUGGUUUCUACCUAGCAACAAGGUCAAAACACUAAGCCUGUGGUUUCUACCUAGCAACAAGGUCAAAACACUUAGAACAUAAGCAGAGUACCCAGGAAAAACCUCAGCAUUCUCACUAGUACAUUUACACAUGUUCAAUGAGCCGUAUGGGCGCGUCCCAAACGACACCAUACAUAGUGCACUACUUUUGACCAUCAUGGGCACUAUUUAGGGAAUAGGGUACCAUUUGGGACGCAGCCUAUGAAAUCUGUCGUCAAUGAAACCACUUAAUAAAAAGGUGAAGUGAAAUAGGGAAUUAGAUACCUCCCAGAAGCUUGCUCUCACUGAAACCAUACAGUAGGAUGUUCCAGAUAAUGCCCUCAGUAUUAUUUAUGAGUCUAGUAGGAUGUUCCAGAUAAUGCCCUCAGUAUUAUUUAUGAGUCUAGUAGGAUGUUCCAGAUAAUGCCCUCAGUAUUAUUUAUGAGUCUAGUAGGAUGUUCCAGAUAAUGCCCUCAGUAUUAUUUAUGAGUCUAGUAGGAUGUUCCAGAUAAUGCCCUCAGUAUUAUUUAUGAGUCUAGUAGGAUGUUCCAGAUAAUGCCCUCAGUAUUAUUUAUGAGUCUAGUAGGAUGUUUCAGAUAAUACCCUCAGUAUUAUUUAUGAGUCUAGUAGGAUGUUCCAGAUAAUGCCCUCAGUAUUAUGUAUGAGUCUAGUAGGAUGUUUCAGAUAAUGCCCUCAGUAUUAUUUAUGAGUCUAGUAGGAUGUUUCAGAUAAUGCCCUCAGUAUUAUUUAUGAGUCUAGUAGGAUGUUCCAGAUAAUGCCCUCAGUAUUAUUUAUGAGUCUAGUAGGAUGUUCCAGAUAAUGCCCUCAGUAUUAUUUAUGAGUCUAGUAGGAUGUUCCAGAUAAUGCCCUCAGUAUUAUUUAUGAGUCUAGUAGGAUGUUCCAGAUAAUGCCCUCAGUAUUAUUUAUGAGUCUAGUAGGAUGUUUCAGAUAAUGCCCUCAGUAUUAUUUAUGAGUCUAGUAGGAUGUUCCAGAUAAUGCCCUCAGUAUUAUUUAUGAGUCUAGUAGGAUGUUCCAGAUAAUGCCCUCAGUAUUAUUUAUGAGUCUAGUAGGAUGUUCCAGAUAAUACCCUCAGUAUUAUUUAUGAGUCUAGUAGGAUGUUUCAGAUAAUGCCCUCAGUAUUAUUUAUGAGUCUAGUAGGAUGUUCCAGAUAAUGCCCUCAGUAUUAUUUAUGAGUCUAGUAGGAUGUUCCAGAUAAUGCCCUCAGUAUUAUUUAUGAGUCUAGUAGGAUGUUCCAGAUAAUACCCUCAGUAUUAUUUAUGAGUCUAGUAGGAUGUUUCAGAUAAUACCCUCAGUAUUAUUUAUGAGUCUAGUAGGAUGUUCCAGAUAAUACCCUCAGUAUUAUUUAUGAGUCUAGUAGGAUGUUUCAGAUAAUACCCUCAGUAUUAUUUAUGAGUCUGUCGUAUCAAGGGACCAUCUCAACACAUGCUGAGGUGGGAUGUUUUGAUGACCCAAUAUAAGAACAAGUGAUAGUAUUACUGACACAGCAUGAUGAACACAACUCGUACUGAAACAGAGAAAUGGCUCAGCAAUCUAAUGUCUCAUUAUGAAUAUUAAAAGGUGGACAGAAAAUCACUGGACAAAAAAAAUACAAAUACAAAUACAAAUAAUAACAA